rnacentral:rRNA from 1 species
UACGUAGGGGCUAGCGUUGUCCGGAAUCAUUGGGCGUAAAGAGCGUGUAGGCGGUCCGGUAAGUCCGCUGUGAAAGUCGGGGGCUCAACCCUCGAAUGCCGGUGGAUACUGUCGGGCUAGAGUGCGGAAGAGGCGAGUGGAAUUCCUGGUGUAGCGGUGAAAUGCGCAGAUAUCAGGAGGAACACCUAUUGCGAAGGCAGCUCGCUGGGACGUUACUGACGCUGAGACGCGAAAGCGUGGGGAGCAAACAGG